rfam:Agrilus planipennis Contig7693, whole genome shotgun sequence.
AGACGGGUUUUAGUCGGUAGACGUUUCGGCGAAUCCGACACCACCCCCUCCUCCCUUCAAGGGGUGUCUUUGGAAGAUUUCCCUUCCU